rfam:Picea glauca, whole genome shotgun sequence.
GUUAAAUUAUUUUUUUGUACCUCACUUAAAUGGAAUCAUUUCUAUGAUUAUAGAGCAGUCAUAAAUUCUAUUUCCAACAUAUUAGCAAGCUAUCUUGAUUUAUAUAUAAUCCAAUGCCCUGAAAACCUAAGGGUUCCUCUGCAAGGUUCGCCCACGGAGGGUGAGUUGGGCCCUAAGAUUAGGCUGAAAGGCGCAGUCGAUGGACAAUGGGUGAAUAUUCAUGUACUACCCCUUGUUGGUCCUAAGGGACGGAAGAGGAUAGGUUAGCCGAAAGAUGGUUAUCGGUUCAAGGACGCAAGGUGACCCUGUUUUUUUCAGGGUAAGAAGGGGUAGAUAAAAUGCCUCGAGCCAAUUUAUGAGUACCAAGCGCUACAGUGUUGAAGUAACCCAUGCCAAACUCCCAUGAAAAUAUCGAAUGACCUUUAACAAACAGGUACCUGCACCUAAAACCGACACAGGUAGGUAGGUAGAGAAUACCUAGGGGUGUGAGACAACUCUCUCUAAGGAACUCGGUAAAAUAGCCCCAUAAAUUCAGGAGAAGGGGUGCCUCCUCAUGAGGUCGCAGUGACCAGGCUCGGGUGACUGUUUACCAAAAACACAGGUCUCUGCAAAUUUGUAAGACCAUGUAUGGGGGCUGAUGUAUGCCCAAUGCUGAAAGGUUAAGGAAGUUGGUGACCUGAUGAUGGGGAAUCCAAUGAUCGAAUCCCCAAUGAAUGGCAGUUGUAACUAUAACGGUCCUAAGGUAGUGAAAUUAUUUGUCGAGUAAGUUUCGACCCACACGAAAGGUGUAACAAUAUGGGCAUUGUCUCGAAGAGACGCUUGGUGAAGUGGACAUGUUUAUGAAGAUGCAGACUACCUACACCUGGAUAGAAAGACCCUAUGAAGAUUUAUUGUUCCCUGUGAUUGUAUUUGGGUUCUUCUUACACAUCUUAGGUGGAAGGUGAAGAAGGCCCCCUUCUAGGGGGGCCUGAUCCACUAGUGAGAUACCACUCUGGAAGAGCUAGAAUUAUAACCUUGUAUCAAAACCUAGAGGCCAAGGGACAGUCUCAGGUAGACAAUUUAUAUGGGGCAUAGGCAUCCAAAAAGGUAACGGAGGUGUGCAAAGGUUUCCUUGGGCCAAACGAAAAUUGUCCCUUGAGUGCAAAGGAAGAAGGGAUAUUAACUGCAAGACCCACCUGUCGAGCAGGAAUAAAAUUUAGCCUUAGUGAUCCGACGUUGCCGAGUGGAAGGUUCAUCACUCAACAGAUAAAAGUUACUAUAGGGAUAACAGGUUGAUCUUCCUCAAGAGUUCACAUCGACAAAAAGGUUUGCCACCUCGAUGUCAGCUCUUCGCCACUUGGGGCAGUAGUACGUUCCAAGGGUUGGGUUGUUCUCCCAUUAAAGUGGUACGUGCGUUGGGUUUAGAAUUUUGUGAGAUAGUUCGGUCCAUAUCUGGUGCGAGUGUUAGAGAAUUGAGAGGACCUUUCCCUAGUACGAGAGGAUCGGGAAGGACACACCUCUGGUGUACCAGUUAUCAUGCCCAUUGUAGAUGUUGGGUAGCCAUGUGCAGAGCAGAUAAAUACUGAAAUCAUAUAAGUAGGAAUCCCACCCCAAGAUGAGUUCUCUCCUAUUCUUACUUCCCCGAGAGCCCUAGUCAUGAACACGGCUGGGACAACGAUGGUUUCUCUGUCCUUGCAAGGGAUGGAGCGACAAAAGUAUUGAGAAUCCAAGAUAAGAUCAUGGAGAGACGAGAUGUUUAUCAUUACAAUAGGUGUCAAGUGGAAGUGCACUGAUGUAUGCAGUUGAGGCAUCCUAACAGAUCGAGAGAUUUUAACCU